rnacentral:lncRNA from 1 species
GUAAAUGGAGUAGAGGUUAGAAAUUGUAGAGAAUAUAAGAGUGAAGAGAGUUUAUUCAUUAGUGAGAUUGUAAAAUUUUUCCUUUCAUUUAUACAAAGAAAGUUUUCCCAUCCUUACUUGUUUUCCAUAUAUUACUUACUUCAAAAUUCUCUUCUCAACGUGGGUAUAAUUUAGCCUCAUUGGUUAAAUUAUUUGUGGGCGUGAAAAGGCUGACUUAACGUUUUCUCGUGAUGUGCGAAAAUUGUAGAACGUUAAGGCCGCACGGUUCUAGUUUGUUCGGGUGUAACGAAACUAGGCCCGUGACAUUAUGCUCUCUUUAAGGGAUUAAAUUAGAUAGCAAUAUUUAUGUUUAAUGAUAUCUGCUCUAUAUUUAGGUUCUUUUAGACCUUAUUGUCUAGAGCCAGACAUAAUUCUUCCUGUUUCCAUUUUACAGCAAUCACCAGUGGAUCUUUCUGAGAAGCUUCCUGAAUCUUUGUACAUUGAUGAUGUUCUAGAGUCUGCGUCUUAUAGGGAGUUACCUUUGCAGAAAUUAAAGAACAUGACAGGUGAAUCCGGGGCUUCUACAUCUGGUUCAUCCAACUUGGCUUUUGACAACAAAACCGGUGGAAUUUGAUACUAGCAAAUUUAAUGUCUUUCAAACUUUUUGGACAUAUCAUAAAUAGGGAAAUAUUUUGUACAUCGAGAUUAGUAUACUUACAGUUUGUUUGCACAUGUUGUAUAGCUAGUAGCUGCUUGCACCUUCUCUAGUUGUUAGUUCAUGGUCAGUGGUUGAUAGGUCUUGCAGAUUGAAGUUUUCAUUUCUUAGAAUGAUCUACAAAUGUUAAUAUCUUCUGUAUUGACACGAUUGGGCAUCUGUUUUCGUUCCGAAUUGAGUUGUCUACUAUGAUGGUAGCAUUGGAUAUUUGAAAGAAGAGCAGGUGCAUCGCGUUCGUGUUCUUGUUCUAGUAAAUUUGUACUCAUUACUUGACACAAUUUUAAAAGCAUGUAAAAGAAUAUUUUAUAGAGUAAUGUUAUUUAGAUUUAGAGGUGCUAGAAAUGCCAGUUUAGGUAGAAGGUGGAAGAAUAAGGUAAGUCUAGUUAAUUUAGGCUAGAUGGUAGUGUUUUUUAUUUAUUUAUUUUUAUUUAUUUUUAUACUGAGGGUGUGACCAUGGUACAGUUUCUAUUUUUU